UGAGAUACAAAUAAUAUAUCUUUAAAGUGCAACGUUUAAAACUUAACACUCACCAGUCUUAUUGCUAAUCUUUCCCUCAGAACAAGGGAUGCAGUCAAAACAACAUUCAGCUUCCCCCUUCUUUCUGGCCAUGCGUGUACCUGGAGGACAGCUCUCACUGCACACUGACCGAGGUGGCUUUCCAGAAGAUUUUGUCUUCAUCAAGUGUGAGUUCUUCACCUUUGGAGGCGGACUUCUUAACCUCACCCACAUUCUGAACUUCAGUUCUUCCAUCAGGGAGCCACAGCCAGUUCAUGAUGUCAUAUAUUGACUCACCCAUGACAGAUGGGCUGCUGUGGCUCUGAGGAGAAAGACAGGUCAGGAUAGGCAGAAAAGAAGUGCAUUGCAAACAGCCCACCUAGAACCACAUCUCCAGCUUUGUGCAUCCCAUUUAGAGGAAAUUGUCCCUGCAACCUGCAAGAGGAGGAAUAAAGAGGCGAGGACACCGCAGCGGAAAAGCAGGAAUACAAAAACAUUUGCAGGGGCAACUUAUCCAAGGUCAAGUUGUGAUGGCAGCAGACCAAGCAAGGUUUUCCAGACUUCACUCGACAAUCACAGGAGAUUGUUUAAUUGGAUUAUGUAACACUUGGGUCCAAACAGUGCCACCAAGAGGCCAAAACUGGAGGCCAGGAUGGCAAAUACCUCCACCACAUCUGCAUAUUUCCCUGGUGAGCUGAUAUACGCAGGGACAAAGGCC